GCCUGGGUGGCUCAGUCAGUUGAGCAUCUGACUUCGGCUCAGGUCAUGAUCUCACGGUUGGUGGGUUUGAGCCCCGCAUCAGGCU
rnacentral:tRNA from 1 species